GGAAUAUAAAAAUCCGUCUGUUAACCUUUAACUAGAAAAACUAAGAACCGAUUCUUAAAUAAGAGUUUUAAAAACCGGUUCUUAACUUUUGUUGUUAAAAGUUAAGAGACGAAUUCUUAUAUUAC
rfam:Brassica napus, WGS project CCCW01000000 data, contig: 7156